rnacentral:rRNA from 1 species
UGCUUCUUGGGUGACGAGCGGCGGACGGGUGAGUAAUGCAUAGGAAUCUGCCCGAUAGUGGGGGAUAACCUGGGGAAACCCAGGCUAAUACCGCAUACGUCCUACGGGAGAAAGGGGGCUCCGGCUCCCGCUAUGGGAUGAGCCUAUGUCGGAUUAGCUAGUUGGUGAGGUAACGGCUCACCAAGGCAACGAUCCGUAGCUGGUCUGAGAGGAUGAUCAGCCACAUCGGGACUGAGACACGGCCCGAACUCCUACGGGAGGCAGCAGUGGGGAAUAUUGGACAAUGGGCGCAAGCCUGAUCCAGCCAUGCCGCGUGUGUGAAGAAGGCCCUCGGGUUGUAAAGCACUUUCAGCGAGGAAGAACGCCUAGCGGUUAAUACCCGCUAGGAAAGACAUCACUCGCAGAAGAAGCACCGGCUAACUCCGUGCCAGCAGCCGCGGUAAUACGGAGGGUGCAAGCGUUAAUCGGAAUUACUGGGCGUAAAGCGCGCGUAGGUGGCUUGAUAAGCCGGUUGUGAAAGCCCCGGGCUCAACCUGGGGACGGCAUCCGGAACUGUCAAGCUAGAGUGCAGGAGAGGAAGGUAGAAUUCCCGGUGUAGCG